CACCAUCAUGGCUGGCAUCCCUGGGUUGAAUAAAGUUGCACUUAGCUUGCCCAGGCUGUGGGCAAAGGCCAGUGGGGGGUUUAGGGAUCUUUGCCCCGUGGCCCACUCGGCCAGCACCUGCUCUGCCUCCCUAGGGAGAUGGCGCAGGAGGUCAAGGCAGAGCGGAGGAGCUGCUGCGGCAGAUUGGAUCCAUCUAGCCUGGUGUCCCAUCUCUGACAGAGCCUGAGGCCAGCUGCUCCAGGGUCUCUCUGGGAGGGACGGCAGGAGACGGGAUGGAUGAUCGGAAACCGCCCAACCAGGCCAAAGACUGUGAGGUGCCAGCCGACGGGGGCACGAGUUCAGAAGAGCGGGGCGGCGCGGAAGGAGACCCCCUGAAGCCCCCGGAAGGGGUCCCUGCUGCCCAGGAACCGGAAGCCAAGGAGCUGCCCCAGGC